rnacentral:rRNA from 1 species
UUUAGAGUUUGAUCCAUGGCUCAGAUUGAACGCCGGCGGCAUGCCUAACACAUGCAAGUCGAACGGCAGCGCGGGGGCAACCCUGGCGGCGAGUGGCGGACGGGUGAGGAAUGCAUAGGAAUCUGCCCGGUUGUGGGGGAUAACGUAGGGAAACUUACGCUAAUACCGCAUACGACCUUUGGGUGAAAGUGGGGGACCUUCGGGCCUCACGCGAUCGGAUGAGCCUAUGCCCGAUUAGCUAGUUGGCGGGGUAAGAGCCCACCAAGGCGACGAUCGGUAGCUGGUCUGAGAGGAUGAUCAGCCACACUGGGACUGAGACACGGCCCAGACUCCUACGGGAGGCAGCAGUGGGGAAUAUUGGACAAUGGGCGCAAGCCUGAUCCAGCAAUGCCGCGUGUGUGAAGAAGGCCUUCGGGUUGUAAAGCACUUUUGUUCGGGAAGAAAUCCGUGUGGUAAACCUGUACGG